rnacentral:rRNA from 1 species
UGACCUGGGCUACACACGUGCUACAAUGGACAGUACAACGAGAAGCGAGCCUGCGAAGGCAAGCGAAUCUCUGAAAGCUGUUCUCAGUUCGGACUGCAGUCUGCAACUCGACUGCACGAAGCUGGAAUCGCUAGUAAUCGCGGAUCAGAACGCCGCGGUGAAUACGUUCCCGGGCCUUGUACACACCGCCCGUCACACCAUGGAAGUCUGCAAUGCCCAAAGCCGGUGGCCUAACCUUCGGGAAGGAGCCGUCUAAGGCAGGGCAGAUGACUGGGGUGAAGUCGUAACAAGGUAGCCGUAGGAACCUGCGGCUGGAUCACCUGUCGACGCGGCCG